rnacentral:rRNA from 1 species
CCUACGGGAGGCAGCAGUGGGGAAUAUUGCACAAUGGGGGAAACCCUGAUGCAGCGACGCCGCGUGAGUGAAGAAGUAUUUCGGUACGUAAAGCUCUAUCAGCAGGGAAGAAAAAAGACGGUACCUGACUAAGAAGCCCCGGCUAACUACGUGCCAGCAGCCGCGGUAAUACGUAGGGGGCAAGCGUUAUCCGGAUUUACUGGGUGUAAAGGGAGCGUAGACGGCAAGGCAAGCCAGAAGUGAAAGGGCAGGGCUCAACCCUGUACAUGCUUUUGGAACUGUGGUGCUAGAGUGCAGGAGAGGUAAGUGGAAUUCCUAGUGUAGCGGUGAAAUGCGUAGAUAUUAGGAGGAACACCAGUGGCGAAGGCGGCUUACUGGACUGUAACUGACGUUGAGGCUCGAAAGCGUGGGGAGCAAACAGGAUUAGAUACCCCUGUAGUC